rnacentral:rRNA from 1 species
CCUACGGGAGGCAGCAGUGAGGAAUAUUGGUCAAUGGCCGAAAGGCUGAACCAGCCAAGCCGCGUGAGGGAGGAAGGCGCAGAGCGUCGCAGACCUCUUUUGCCGGGGGACAAAAGGCCGGACUCGUCCGGUCCUGAGGGUACCCGGAGAAAAAGCAUCGGCUAACUCCGUGCCAGCAGCCGCGGUAAUACGGAGGAUGCGAGCGUUAUCCGGAUUCAUUGGGUUUAAAGGGUGCGCAGGAUGGGAGGUAAGUCAGCGGUGAAAUGCCCCCGCUCAACGGGGUGAAGUGCCAUUGAUACUGGCUUGCUGGAAUGCGGUUGCCGUGGGAGGAAUGUGUGGUGUAGCGGUGAAAUGCAUAGAUAUCACACAGAACACCGAUUGCGAAGGCAGCUCACGAAUCCGCGAUUGACGCUGAUGCACGAAAGCGUGGGUAUCAAACAGGAUUAGAUACCCCUGUAGUC